UAAGUACUCCCUCCGUCCCAAAAUUCUUGUCUUAAAUUUGUCUAGAUACGGAUGUAUCUAAUACUAAAACGUGACUUGAUACAUCCGUAUCUAGACAAAUCCAAGACAAGAAUUUUGGGACGGAGGGAGUAUGAC
rnacentral:pre_miRNA from 1 species